rnacentral:lncRNA from 1 species
AUGUUUUGGGGGCGUUUGUAUGGUUUUUGGGGCAUUUGUAUGGUUUUUGGAUGUUUCUUUGCAUGUUUUGGGGGUGUUUGUACGGUUUUGGGAUGUUUCUUUGCAUGUUUCUUUGCAUGCUUUUGGGGCAUUUGUACAUUUUUUGGAUGUUUCUUUGCAUUUUUUUGCAGUGUUUGUAUGUUUUUGGGGCAUUUGUAUGGUUUUUGGAUGCUUCUUUGCAUGGUUUUGGGGCGUUUGUAUGUUUUUGGGGCAUUUCUUAGCACAUUUUUGGGGUAUUUGGGUUCAGAAGGGGGAGCCGAGGGUCUCCUCCUGAUAACCUCAGCCCCAGCCGCCCUCUUUGCCAAACCCAUUCUGAGGAGCGGGGCUGGGAAAUGCUCGUUUUGGGUUUGUUUUUCUUUUUUCCCAUCGUGUUUUUGGUGUUAUUUUGGUGUCCCCCCCCCCGCCCGGAUCUGCUCGGCAGCUGUGGGCUGGGCAGGGCCCAAAACGAGGCUGCUAACGAGCUCCGAGCUAACGAGGAGGCGCGAGCCAGCUCAGAAAGGGACGGGGAACAAGGGGGGAACUCGCUCGGGGGGGAGCCCGCGGGGCUCCAAGACCCUGCCCCAGAUUUGGGGGCUCCCCACGACCCCCCCCCAGGGCUGGGGGAAGGCAGCAGGAGAGGAAUUCCCCAAAUUUGUGCCUUGGGAAUCAAAUUUGGCCCCAGGAGGGCUCGUUUCUGAGCAGCUGGAUCGCCAAAAACCCUACAAAAACCAGCGGGGGCUUCACCGGGGUGCUGGGGGGGGGGCAAGAAAACGGUGCCAGGAGCCACGGGGUCUUCAAGGAGCCGACCGUGUCCCCCCCCCCCGUGACCUCUCAAAAACCAUCAUCAGGCCGAGCCCAGAGCAUCCAAAUCAGGGAUUCUCCACCCAAAACCCCCCCGGCAACGCCAAGCCGAGCGGUUACGGGAGCGCAGAGCUGGAUGGGGCCCCGGCACCGACCCCGGGUUGCCCAAAUCCCCCAACUUCUUCCUUAAAAUCCGCCCUGCUCCUCCCAACGUCCCCCAGCCCCCCGGGGGGGGCUCGCCCACCCCCUGCCCGCUGCCGGAACGCGGAACCCGGCGCCGCAAAGGACUUUACACCGGGGGACGCCUCCGGACUUUACCCCCUGCACCGCCCGGCGAGGAGGGGUGGAAAAUGA